GCUUUUUUAGUGGUUAUCACACCAGUCUAACAUACUGGUGGUCCCCUGUUCGAGCCCAGACGAAAUCA